CCAGCUCCAAUAGCGUAUAUUAAAGUUGUUGCAGUUAAAAAGCUCGUAGUUGAAUUUGUGGUGCUGCCUGCAGUCCAAUUAGCUUUGGUGCUAGCGGGUGGUGCCAUCUUUGGGUGGAACCUGUGGGGCAUUAGCUUGUUUUGCAGGGGAAAUUCAUCGUUUACUGUGAAAAAAUUAGAGUGUUCAAAGCAGGCUUACGCCAUUGAAUAUACUAGCAUGGAAUAAUGAAAUAGGACUUUGGUACUAUUUUGUUGGUUUGCGCGCCAAAGUAAUGAUUAAUAGGGACAGUUGGGGGUAUUCGUAUUCCAUAGUCAGAGGUGAAAUUCUUGGAUUUUUGGAAGACGAACUACUGCGAAAGCAUUUACCAAGGAUGUUUUCA
rnacentral:rRNA from 1 species